ensembl:lncRNA
CCACAAGGUUAGUUAUACGAGACUGUGUGUGUCUGUGUGUGUCCCCACAAGGUUAGUUAUACGAGACUGUGUGUGUCUGUGUGUGUCCCCACAAGGUUAGUUAUACGAGACUGUGUGUGUGUGUCCCCACAAGGUUAGUUAUACGAGACUGUGUGUGUGUGUCCCCACAAGGUUAGUUAUACGAGACUGUGUGUGUGUGUGUGUCCCACAAGGUUAGUUAUACGAGACUGUGUGUGUGUCUGUGUGUCCCCACAAGGUUAGUUAUACGAGACUGUGUGUGUGUCUGUGUGUCCCCACAAGGUUAGUUAUACGAGACUGUGUGUGUCUGUGUGUCCCCACAAGGUUAGUUAUACGAGACUGUGUGUGUGUGUGUGUGU